rnacentral:misc_RNA from 1 species
GAACGCAUAUUGCGCUCUUUGGUAUUCCGAAGAGCAUGCUUGUUUGAGUAUCAGUAAACACCUCAAAGACUUUCAAUUUGUUUUGAAUGGCUUUGGACUUGAGCAAUCCCAACACCAGUCUUUACGAUCGGUGGAGGGUUGCUUGAAAUGCAGGUGCAGCUGGACAUUCUCCUGAGCUAAAAGCAUAUUUAUUUAGUCCCGUCAAACGGAUUAUUACUUUUGCUGCAGCUAACAUAAAGGGAGUUUGACCGUAUUGGCUGACUGAUGCAGGAUUUCACAAGGGUCGGCAACGAUUCUUGUAAAACUCGAUCUCAAAUCAAGUAAGACUACCCGCUGAACUUA